GCAACUAGUAAACACAUUAAAGACACAUGUGCUUCUUCUCCCCCUCAGUCUGCUCAACACAAACAUCUCCUUCAACAACACCUGUAACAUACACCUCCCCAUCUGACAUCACCUUCAACAUCACCUGUACUACCCAAAAUAUCCUUUUCAACAUCAUCUGUCAUUUGUUUAUAGCAUAGCUACUUUAGCUACAACUCCUUUAGCUAC
rnacentral:lncRNA from 1 species